UACUUUGGCCACUGAUCUCAGUUUCCUUUCAUGAGGCUUCUAGCCAAAGAUGAUAAAGGGGGAAAUGGUUUUUAGUGCGUAUAUUAUACUGCCUCUUAGGUGUACUCUUUAUAAGCUGGUAAACCAAGAAUCUAGGGAGUGGCCAAACUAAAUAUAAUUUCUUUAAAAAAGAAAGAAAAAGGAAAAAUCCAAAAUAUCUCAGUAUCAUCUGUCUGAAGCAUUGUGUGUUCUCAUUCGGGUGGUAACAAUGUAUGUGUAAUAUUUUUUUCUUAGUGAUUUUGACAGUUUAAAUGUUUAACAACUUAAAGCAUUAAAAAUGCUUAUUAAUAACUUUGGUCAUUUAAAAAAUGCUACAAUGACUUCCUAUUAAAGGUUCAAUAUUUACACAUUCUUAUUGGUUGAUAUUACCACAUGAAAUAUUGCCAGACCAAGAUACCUAAACUCAUGAUGUCUGUGGUGCUGUAAAAUUUAUACUAAAAUGUGGACUAUUUUGAAAUUAUAACCAUUUUUGAUGCCCUGAAUCUUGAGGUGACUUAUUUUGCAUAGAGGAUAUGGAUAGACCAACAGUAAGGGUUGUGGGUUAUACCGGCAUAGAGAAAAGAAGAAAACUAGAAUUGAAACAACUGUGUCUUAGACAUUUGUUUGAAAAAGCUUCAUCAGGCCUUGGAGCAGUCACUGCUUUAUUCCGCAAAAAUUAUUUGGUAGGAAAUUUUUGGGAGAUCUGAUUUUCUUAUCCAAGUUUUGUAAAUAGUUGUUAUUUCUAUAUUUGGAUUGGUGAAAGACCUCAAGUUUAUAUGUAAAGACAUAACUGCCCUUAGUCAUGAAAUUGUUGUGACCUCUACUUUUUGUCACUAAUAGCCUACAUUCAAGUGCCUGUGUUUUUUCAUCUUGUUUAGGAAUGUUUUGAGAUUAAUGUGCUUAAAAGUCCUACGUGACUGAUUUUAAACAUUGUGAUAAAAUUAAUUUUCAGUAGAAUAGUUGAAUGUGUUAAGAUAGGAUUUUAUGUUAGAGAUACCAGAAUGCUGGUAUUCUACUACUUGUGCAAUAUAUAUGUUUUAAAAAACAAAUUUGAGAAUACAUUUAAUCAUAGGGAUAUAGAUAUAAGCACCUCUCUAAAGAAUCUUUAGUUUCCGACGUUGAAUUAUAGACCAGUUUGAGUAAGUACUGCUUUUUUUUUUUGGAGACGGGCUCUCGCUCUGUUGCUCAGGCUGGAGUGCAGUGGCGUGAUCUCAGCUCACUACAGCCUCCACCUCGUGGGUUCAAACAGUUGUGCUGCCUCAGCUUCCCGAGUAGCUAGGAUUACAGGUGCAUGCCACCACACCUGGCUAAUUUUUGUAUUUUAGUAGAGAUGGGGUUUCACCAUGUUGGCCAGGCUCGUCUCGAACUCCUGACUUCAGGUGAUCCACCCAUCUCAGCCUCCCAAAGUGCUGGGAUUACAGGCGUGAGCCACCAUGCCCGGCCCAUAAGUACCGUUUUUGAGGUUCAGUCUUAAACAUUUGCUUUAAGAAAACAGUCUUGAAUUUCACAUGCUGCUAUUUUUAUAUUUUGCCAUUUUACAGUACUGUUUUGUUUUGAAUUCAUGCAUAUCAUUGAAAAUUUCUCGUUUUCAUUUUCUUAGAUGACUUCUUGUCUGAGACAGAAAAAUUUCCUACUACAGCAGUGCAGUCCAGAGGUUAAGAUGUAUUAGAAUUAUACAAUAUCAGUUUAAAAAUCUGUAUGCAUAAAGAAUGCACCACUCAACUUUUUUAUUCAUAAGCUAAUAUUUUUUUAAAGUUACAUUAAGAUUUUUUCUCUUUUGCAGCUACAUUUGAAAGUGAUAGAAUAAAGAGAUUUUAAUGAGUUAUCACUUUUUCAGCUGAUAUAUUCAUUUUAAUGGCUUUUUUGAAAGUUCCUUUUUCAUGAACACACCCGAGAAAUCUUAAAUAGACACUUUGCAAUAUUUAAGAACCUAAUGCUGUUUAAUUUUGGUACAGCUUCCACAUUGCAUGUUCACUUUAGUAUUUGCAAUUUGAUAUAUUUCAUGGUGGCAAAAUAUUAGCUCUGUUUUGGGACAUUUUAAAAUAGAACUAUCCUUGUUCGAUAGCAUAGGAAAAUGUUCUGGUGAUUGUCAGGGUCUCCUAAUAUUUAUCUCAAUUCUUUUAUAAGUCUAUGGAAAUUAUUUAAUUAUUUUAAAACGUACACACUUUUCUUGUAAAUAUGUCACAUCUGAGUUCAAAAAAAUUACUUUGAAUACCUUAAUAUUUGCUGCAUUUUUUUCCGUAUAUAUAACAUGUCUUCUUUCAGAAUGGGAAUAUAUGUGUGCCUCCCAACAUUUACUGUUAAAGUGUGUUAUCUUUAUAUGUCAAACUGGUUGAACACUGUAAUGAGAAUAAACUGCACAGAG
rnacentral:lncRNA from 1 species